rnacentral:rRNA from 1 species
GAAAAGUGAAAAUUGAGUUGAUAAUUUAAAUAUGCUUAAUGGUUUAAUUUGAAUAGUUUGAUAGUAAAAACUAUAAAGGUGAAAUUUAUUUAUUUUUAUAAUAAAGACUAAUUGAAUUUAAUAGAUUCAUGAAAUUUGAUUAUUAAACUAGGAUUAGAUACCCUAUUAUUUUAAAUGAAAGUUUAUUUGGGUAGUAAAAGUAAUUCUUCAAACCCACAGAUCUUGGCGGUAUUUUAUGUAAACAGAGGAAUUUGCCUAGUAAUUGAUAAGCCUCGUUUGAUCUUUCUUUUCUUAUUUAGUUUGUGUACUGCCGUUGUCAGAUUACUUUUGAAAAUAGAAAUCGGAAUAAAGAGUUUUAUAACUUCAGGUCAAAGUGCAACUUAUGGAAAAGUUUUUUGGUGAGUUACAAUAAUUUUUAAUUAGACGAAUUAAAAUUGAAACUAUUUUAGGAAGGUGGAUUUGUUAGUAAGUUUACUUAAUGAAAGUGAAUUGAAGCAUCCUCUAAAAUAUGCACACAUCGCCCGUCGCCCUCUUUUUAAAAA